AUUGAACGCUGGCGGCAGGCUUAACACAUGCAAGUCGAGCGGAGUGAUGGUGCUUGCACUAUCACUUAGCGGCGGACGGGUGAGUAAUGCUUAGGAAUCUGCCUAUUAGUGGGGGACAACAUCUCGAAAGGGAUGCUAAUACCGCAUACGUCCUACGGGAGAAAGCAGGGGAUCACUUGUGACCUUGCGCUAAUAGAUGAGCCUAAGUCGGAUUAGCUAGUUGGUGGGGUAAAGGCCUACCAAGGCGACGAUCUGUAGCGGGUCUGAGAGGAUGAGCCGCCACACUGGGACUGAGACACGGCCCAGACUCCUACGGGAGGCAGCAGUGGGGAAUAUUGUACAAUGGGGGGAACCCUGAUCCAGCCAUGCCGCGUGUGUGAAGAAGGCCUUAUGGUUGUAAAGCACUUUAAGCGAGGAGGAGGCUCUUUUGGUUAAUACCCAAGAUGAGUGGACGUUACUCGCAGAAUAAGCACCGGCUAACUCUGUGCCAGCCGCCGCGGUAAAAC
rnacentral:rRNA from 1 species